ensembl:lincRNA Mirg miRNA containing gene
CUCUGCCUCAGAGGUCUUCUCAAGCCACUACUGUUCCCAAGGAUGCCUAAUUGCAAUGCCAGCUUCUGGGGUGAACAUGGACCCACUGUCAUCGGGCAAGGUCUAGGAUGGACAUGGAGACCCACCAUCUGGGAGAUUCCAGAGUGGACGUGAACCCACCAUCAUCAGGCAGCUUCAUGGAGUAUUCAGAAGCUGGCGGGUGUCACCUGGAGGAUGUGACUGGGUACCAGUGCCAGAGCACGUGCCCACUGAGCAGUCUUCUUCACUUUCCUCGAUCCUCAUGAAACAUUCCGGGAUCUUUACCUCAAAGGACUCCAGAGGCUACAUCAUUGUCUUGGAACUGGUCAGUGGCUGGAGCUCUCUCCAGGACAAGUGCUUGGAGGAAGAACCUGGACAAGCUUCCCUCCCCAUACUGUUGACUGGAUCUUGUAGCUACCGUUAGCCACCAUCAUCGCCAUUGUGUGCCUCUUAGGAGCAUUUCCAGGAGGUGAUGCCAGCUGGGGAAAGAGCCUCUGUCCCACAGGACAGCUUCAGGUGGUGAUUCCAGCUCCAGGGUUGCUGCGGUCAACACUGGGUACUUGAGGAGAGGUU